rnacentral:tRNA from 1 species
GGGGCGUGGCCCAGCGCUAGAGCACGUGCCCACCUCGCACCAGGCCCUGGGUUCAAACCCAGUGCCACCA